AUCCGAGAAGGUAAAGGGUUGAGGGGUUUCCGCCCUUUAGUGCUGAAAGUUAACGCAUUAAGCACUCCGCCCGGGGAGUACGGCCGCAAGGCUGAAAACUCAAAGGAAUUGACGGGGGGCCCGCACAAGCGGUGGAGCAUGUGGUUUAAUUUGAAGCAACGCGAAGAACCUUACCAGGUCUUGACAUCUUCUGAAAACCCUAGAGAUAGGGCUUCUCCUUCGGGAGCAGAGUGACAGGUGGUGCAUGGUUGUCGUCAGCUCGUGUCGUGAGAUGUUGGGUUAAGUCCCGCAACGAGCGCAACCCUUGAUCUUAGUUGCCAUCAUUAAGUUGGGCACUCUAAGGUGACUGCCGGUGACAAACCGGAGGAAGGUGGGGAUGACGUCAAAUCAUCAUGCCCCUUAUGACCUGGGCUACACACGUGCUACAAUGGACGGUACAAAGAGCUGCAAGACCGCGAGGUGGAGCUAAUCUCAUAAAACCGUUCUCAGUUCGGAUUGUAGGCUGCAACUCGCCUACAUGAAGCUGGAAUCGCUAGUAAUCGCGGAUCAGCAUGCCGCGGUGAAUACGUUCCCGGGCCUUGUACACACCGCCCGUCACACCACGAGAGUUUGUAACACCCGAAGUCGGUGGGGUAACCUUUUUGGAGCCAGCCGCCUAAGGUGGGACAGAUGAUUGGGGGG
rnacentral:rRNA from 1 species